AAAAAGAGAAGAGUUAAGACAUAUUAUACACAGGUACAAAUUCCCUAUGAUGAAGAUGAUUAAUAUGUAUGACAAUUACAAACAAACAAAAAUAUAAAGUUAAAAUAAGAUUUUAAAAUAUGAGUCUACUGUAUUCUAUGGCAGAAUCCCAGUCUAGAGCAGCAUAUUGUUGAUAUUGCUUAAUACAUUUGCUUAAUUGGGGAAAAAAACCCUCAAAGGAGCAAGUAUUAAAAGAAUGAACCCAGUAGAUACAGAAACAUGACCAGGCUCUCAGAAUACAGAGCUCAUCACUGACUUUUCCUUUCCCUCAAAGAAAAUCACCAUCCUUGCUACCUUAAAGGGUGAACAGGUGAACAGGUAAAUUCUCCACGUGUGUUUCACACAAAAACUCCUAGGGCAGUUGAUGCCUUCGUUGGCUCCUUGCUGGCUUCAUGAAGGGGCCAGUGGAUGAUGGUGACAACCCCUGUCUACCACAGUGAGCUCUUCUGGCUGCAACCCAGUGCCCAGCAGGCUGCCAACACCCACCAAGACCUCACCACAGGGCGCCCACACCACAAAUGGGCCCAGUGGCCUGGAGCCUGCAUCCCAGGGCUGGCUUUCUUACUGAGGAAAAGGGACUUUGUCUCCCUAGGGCACUUGAGCUCUCAGUACUUUUCUUAGAGGAUUAAGUUUUUUUAAACAUUUUUUGUUUUUGUUUAUUUUUGUACCAGGGAUCGAACUCAAGACCUUGUGGUUGCAAGGCAGGCGGCAGAACCACUGAGCUAAAUCCCUGGCCCCUAAACAUUUUUAAUUUUUAUCCAUGAAUUUUUAAUUAGAAAAUUAAAAUUGUUUAUGGUGUUCAACAAGAUGUUUUGAUAUAUGUCUACUUUGUGAGAUGGCUAAAUCGGGCUAUUUACCAUUUGUAUUACUGGAGAUACUUAUUUUUUCAUGAUGAAAACACUUAAAAUCUACUCUCUUAACAAUGUCCCAGUAUGUAAGACAUUGUUAUUAACUUACUCAUUGGGACCUGCAGUACAGCUCUUAAAUGAAUUCUCAUCUGGCUGACGUUUUCAUUAAAGUUAACUAAUUUAUAGAUGAUAAAAAAGAUGGUAACUUAAUUUGAUGAUAUUUCAAGUGUCCACUAUAAUAUGUAAUACGCAUAACUGUAACAAGCUUUGUAAAUACAAGUGAGCUUAAAAUAAAAUGUGUAUUUACAAAUGAGAGUUCCCGGUAGCAUAGUAUUUCCAACUUUUUUUUUUUUUGCAAUUUGAAGGAUUUUAAUAUUAAUCACCACCUACUAUUUUACAUAGGUAUAAAAAUGAUACCCUAAGAGGGUGAAAUUCCCUAAACAUCCAUCACAAAACUACACCAAGAACUAUAAGCUCAUGUCUACAGGGCAGAGGGCACAGGCCAGAGUCUCGGUCAUCUUCCAGAGAGCUCCAUACUGGGACUGGCUUGCUUUAGGGAAUCACCCCUCCCUGCUUUAGGGAAGACAUCAAGGUCCAGAAUUAUACCACAUAUUUUAUUAAAAUUAUGAUCUAAAAUUUCAAUGCUUCAUAACUAUCCACUUUUAAAGCCUUUCAAAUAGUAUAAAGAAAAUGCAAGCUAGGCACUGUGGUACUCGUGUAUAGUCCCACCUACUAGAAAGGAUCACACACAUAAAACAUAAGCCCAGGACUUGGAAGACAGUGUGGACAGCACAGUGAGACCCCACCUCUUAACAUUAAAUUCUUUUCUUAAUGCCAAUCAAUGAUGCAAAAAAAGUUUUUCCUAUGGAAAACAAAAGAACUUCUGCUUCUGAUAAAGGAUAACCAGGAAAUUUGGAUCAAUUUUUCCAUUAAGGGCUGUCAGAUAAACUAUAUUUUAAAUAUGCUUGAAUGUAUUAGGAAGUCAAGAAAUGGUAAAUAAUUGCUGAGCCACAGCAUAGGGGAAGAUGGUGCCCAAGAAGCUCAGGCUAGCGUCUGGGACAUCUUUCUCUGUAACUGCUGCUUAUUCUGGAAGGAGCAGUUGGCAUUUCAGCAGCUCCUGAUUUAUGGUAACAGGGCUAGAAUGAUAGGGGUGGAGGUUUAAGAGUUGGAGGAGCAAAAACCCCUCACCAGCUCUGGGUUGAGAAGCGUAAGCUUAGUCCUGAGGUGACUCAGUCCCGAGGUGAGUCCUGCAACUCAGCUUCAGCUCAUCAUAGUCUCGGGGACCAUGUGCUCCAGACACCUAGCAGAAGAAAGGGAAACUCCUUUUUGAAACAUAACAUCUUCUACAACCUCAAAUUAUUCUUUCAAAUAUGUGUUCAGCACACCAUCAAAAACAGCCAAGCCUGAGUAGAAAAUACAACACUAAGAAAGGUGAGGAGGAAAAGGGUAGGGGAAGAUGCAACACACAAACACUAACCUAAGGAAAUCUGGAGGCUCUCUAUUAAUCUGAAAGUUGACUUUAAGGUGAAAAACAUAACUAGAAGUAGAAAAAAGGGAUAUUUCAAAUGACAAAUAGGUUCAGAAAGACAUAGCUCUUAAGUUUUAUAUAGCAAAUAACAAGCUUACAGUAUAGAGAGGAAUAUCUCACAGGUCAAAAUGAGGAAACAGAAAAAUCUUAAUUCCAUGGGGGAUUUUAACAUAUUUCAGUAACUGCUAGAACUUGAACAAUGAAAGAAUCAGGAAAAUAUAGACAGUUCACACAUGAUGACCAGUAAUUUGACCUUAUAGAAACAUAGAAUCCUGCAUUCAAAAUAAUUCUAAAUAAUUUUUCAUCAAGCAUACCUAAAAUAUUUUUUAAAUGACUGCUAUAGUUUGGAUCUUGACUGUCCCUCAAGGAUCCAUGUGUUAGCUUGGUUUUCAGCUUAGGCUUUGGGGAUGUGGUAGAAACUUUAACAGGUGGUACCUAAUGGGAAGUCUUUAGGUCACUGAGGGCAUCAGAGGGGAUUGUAGAACCAGGUCUCUUCCUUUCUCUCUCUUUUGCUUCCUGGUGAUGAGGUGACCAGCUUCCUAUGUCACAUGAUGCCCUCCAUGAUGUGCUGCCUCACCACAGGUCCAAAAGCUACAGGGCCAGCUGAUCAUGGACUGAGACCUCCAGAACUGCAAGCCAAAAUAAACCUUUUAUUUUUAUAACUUGAUUAUGUCAGGUAUCAUUAAAGUGACAGAAAGCAGACUAACACAAUGGCCAUUGACUUAAGUGUGAAAUUUUGGUCUCCCAAAUUUGAUCACUGUCUUCUUUUGAUCAACUUUCAGCUUCUCUGUAAACUCUCAACUCCAGCAAGGAUCAUUUUCCAUUGGCCACUUCUCCCACCAGCCCAACCCCACCAUUGCGUGGUCACUUGAAUACUUAACUGUAGGUCUAAAGCCACCUAGACUUUCCACCACAUUCAAAAUGGAAAUUCAUCUUUUAAAACUCAGCUCAAGAUUCAACAGAAAUCUGUAUUUCUACUAUGAUCUUUGUCUUUGUCUUCCUCUUUUCUCCAACAAAAAAGAAAUAACAGAAUUCACUAGGCACAAAAUGUUGCAGGGAAGGCCAAGUUACUUAAUUUUUUCCUAUAAGGGCAAACUUCAGUGGGUUUCAUGUGGGGAGGAAAGCCUCUUUCCAAAACUCCUGUGAGAAAUUACUUUGGCACAAACACCUGCAGCUACAGUGAGUGCUAAUAAUGCAACAAGGAGACGGGACAUAUGGCCCUAUACUAGACCAGCUUGGCUAAGCCCUAAUGAGGUUUCCCAUAAUUUCCUUCUAUACAUGGUCUUGGGUUAGAGUUGACCAUAAAGGAAAUCUGAUGUAGUUUUGGGAGGCAGAAGAGACACUGCAGCCACUGCUGUGCUCAGAAGGUUGAAAGUCUACUUGAACACACACAUGCUAGGCUGGUCAAACUCACUGCUGCAAGGAACAGUAGGACCCUCAUCAUCCUCAGCUCUUGCUUGGAUCUUCUUCUCCAAUUCCUGGGUCUGCUUCUCCAUGUCCUGCAUAAACAAAUGUGCUGAAGCAAAAUGUGCCAACUUGAACAAGUUACCUGCAUUAUCAACAUGGAGGUGGUGAGGGACAGGGGCAGAAUUCAAUCAUUCUCAUGGGAUCCACUUUGCUUCCAUGAAUUCUAGUUUGUUUCUGCUCUGCCUUGCUUCCCAUCCAGUUUUACUCCCCACUCACAAGCCUUGUCCAUCCAUAGUGACUUCAGGGCACCAACAGACAGUGCAGAGGCAGAACCCUUCCAAGGCCUUGCUCACAGCUCCAACAGCUUCAUGCAGACAGUGAAAUGCCUGUAAGUCAUUCUGGUGUGCUGAUCAAACCUGAACUGACAUAUGAGUGCUUCCAUUGCUGUCCCUUCCAUUUUAUUUAGAUGCAAAAUCCCCUACAACCUUAGGUCGGGUGGAGCUAGGAGUUUAGGCCUCAGGUGGGGUGACCUAAAGGUUCCAAAUUAAGUUAAACACUGACAACCAGGCUCACUCACCCCUCAGUUCUCAGUGGCACACACCUGCUUCAUGCCAGACCUGGGGCUGGCUUCUAGGAAUAUACAGGCUCUCCCUUUGAGGAUUUCACCAUUAACUGUCAUCCUUUUGGGUGGGAACUACAAAGCCCAUACACAAAUGCCGAAAGCAAAGAAAAGGAAGAAUUUCAGUUGGGGGUGAAGGACAUCAAUUUCCCACUGGAGAGGGCCUGAUGGAAGGCAGAGGCUGCAUCUCCCCUCUGUGUCACCAUGGCACGGAUUCCUAACUGUGCUGACCACUCCUGGUGGCAUUUCCUAAGCGUAGGGACCAGAUCAGGUCUUUGUAACAUCACAUUUCACCUAACAUCCCUUCUAAGAUCCUUUGAAAAGUACCCAAGCUCUCAAGCUCCAGUGUGAUGAAAGAUAUUCAAAGUAUAAUUUACCAAGCAGCACCUUAUAGCCCUCAUCUCAAUCCUCCAAAAAAGGAGUAAGUGUAGUUGGCCCUCAGUAUCCUCAGGGGAUUGUUUUCAGGAUCCCCUGCAGAUAGGAUAAACCAAGGACACUCAAGUCUCUCACAUAAGAUGGCACAGUAUUUGCACAGAACCUAUGCACAUCUACCUGUAUACUUUAAAUCAUCUCUGGAUUACUUAUAAUACCUGAUACAAUGCAAAUGCUAUGUAAACAUUGUUAUACUGUAUUGAUUAGGAAAUAAUGACAAGAAAAAUGUCUGCAUGUUCAAUACAGAUGAAGUUUUUUUUCAAAUAUCUUUGAUUAACAAUUGGUUGAAUCUACGGAUAUUGAACCCACAUAUAGGAAGGCCUGGCUCUCUUUGGCCAAUGGAAGCUGUCUCCUAAAAAUUCAUUUGUUCUGGGCCAGUUAAAUUAUUUGGGGCCAGAGAUGAUAUGGUCAUGUUAUAUAGCAACAUAGGGCUUUUCUGGGCCUGCUACCAUCUUAUUUCUCCUCUAUCUUUGGAGGAUUCAUUUAGCUUUUUAGUACACAUUUGUGUUAAAAGAAGUACAAUUUAGCAAGAGGAAGAUCUCUCUCUGCUCUAAUUUUUUAGUUCAUUUUCUUAAUCCAGAUCUGAGCUCAGACAUGGUAGAACUAGAAAGGAAUGGAUAAAGAUUCUCACAUUCCAUGCCUUAGCAACACAGGCUGAUUUUAUACUCCUUCACUGUCCAGUGCAAGUCCAGGGUGGGAGUGGGGAGGACUGCUCCACAGUCAUGAAGAGAUUCAGGUUCCCAGGCCCUGGAGUCUUCUACCAGAUUACUGCACCCAGUCUGUAAGGAGGGAAGAGAGAAUGGAGCAGGGUACAGGAAGGUCUAUGGGCCACAUCUGGACACAAUGGAUUUCACAUCUGGACACAGCUCAUUGGCCAGAACUAAUCAAAAGGCUUGACCGAGUACAAAGAUAGGGUGCUGUGGUGGUUAAGCUUCACUGUGCUGAUUGGUUUGUGAGCCACCUAUGGGAUUGGUAAAGCACACUGGUGGGUAUGUCUGGGUGGAUCAUGGAGAUUUGACUGUGGGCACUAUAUCUGGUCCCUCACAUCUUCCUCACUGACACUUUCCCCUGCUCUGCUUCCCAGCUGCCAUGAACUGAAGCUCUUGCUCUGCCACACCCAUCCACCAUAGCAUUUUUGCCUGGAAGCCAGCUGACCAGGGCCCCCAAGGAGGUUGCCAAAGUGCCGCCUGGUGUUCCUAAGCACAGGAUGGCUGUGAUGUGGCUUCCAAAGAAAAGACAGGGGAUUCCACAUGUGAUCUCAGGUCAAGCAUCCGGAAAGAGGUUUUGGGAAGCCCAUCUGGAUCCAAAGACUCCAGUUUUCUCCUUGGUCAGAAAUCCAGGCACAGAGAAGCUGAAUUUUCUCUGUUCAGGCUCUGGAAAGGCUGGAAUCAGGGUGUCUGCUAGGCUGCAUUGUCCUCUGGAGCUCAGGAUCCUCUUCCCAGCUCAUUCAGGGAGGAAGAAGUGGGGACAAAGUUGCCUGUGACACUCUGCAAACUAGAGAGACCGUCAUGCCAUUAUGAGACCAGAGGAAUUGUUUUCUGUCCAUCUUUCCUGGCUACUGCUCCCCCUUCGCCUAAAAGGGAAGUUCUCUGGAGCACAGAAUUCAACAGCCAAACCCCUCUGAAAGAAGAAAGGCAGCUUUCAGAAACAAAAGAAGGUAGGAGAGUAAGCUUUUCCCAUGGUGAGUUGCAAACAAAUACGAGUAUCUGAUACCAACUAUUUCCACAGAGAAGACUUUCAAGUUUUCCUCAUACACUGCAGAGUAAAAAUGCUUUUCUGAAAAGAGAAUAUGGAAAACCAGAAUUGGUAAUACCUACUCUGAGAGCAUACAUUGAUGCCCGUCCAAAAAUUCUUUAAUCCUUAAAGGAUAUCAUUUAUGCAAUAAACAGUCCUUAAAAAUCAGUCAAUGAUUGUUGUUAGUAGUUUGUGAAAAUGCCAAUGUUAAUAUGAUGUUUACCAAAAAAAAAACAUCCCUGAUUAGCUUAUGUACCUACCUGAGACUAUAAACACCCCUGCCAGUGAGAAGGCCUUUCAUGCCACUGUGGCUCAAGGCAUCAUCUAGUGGCAGCUUCUCUAAUUGCAGAUCCAUUGACAGAAGCAAGGCUGGGAGAGGUUGAUGGAGAAUCUGUACCUAUAGUUUCAGCCAGAAUGACACCACUGGGUUUUAUCUUUAGGUUGAUCUCAGAGUUAUUAUGAGGGUAAGGACACAGAGGUUCUCAUUUUGUUAGAGCAAGACACAGAAAGAGAGACAGAGAGACACGCAGAGACAGACACUGGGGAGACACUAAGAGUUUAGCGGAAAACACAUCUUUGCUGCUACUUUUACAGCUAGCAGAAUAUUAAUCACCAACAUAAAGAGUCCCUUGAAGGACCAUGUUCUAUAAAUUCAAAUUUUAUAUGCAAUCCUCCGAAGUCUAUAAAAAUUGACAGGAGUAGUUGUUUCCACUAGUCAUAAAUCAAAGGAGUGGGAAAGGAAGGAUUUGAGUCCAGUUGUCCCUACCUCUAAGCUUUCCACGUUGCUCCCUCUGCCCCAAGGGCUGGCUCUGUGCCCACCAGAGGGUGAGAAAGCUCCUAGGGCCGAGAUUCCCCUUGCCUGGCAGACUUGGUGCAUUUAGUUCCCUCCAACUGCGCUUCCUAGCCCUGGCUUUCACUCCCAGAGCACAUUCAUCUGGGCCUCAGACUCCAGCCCUCCCUCCACCUCCCUUCAAACUUUCAAAACCCUGCUAUUUCCACUUGGGUUCUGCAAUUCUCUCUCCACAUCAGCUUGUAUUUUUGAAAAUUAAAAAAAAAAAUUACAUUCCCAGAGAUCAAUCCAACAAGAUUCUUAGCUCAGUUUUCUUUUGUCCUCUCUCUCUCCCUCCCUCCAUUCUCCCUCCUUCUUUUCUUUUGGUGUGUUACUUUUUCAAUUCUUUUCAAUAGCUUAAAACUUUUUUUAAAAAGUUCUUAAGCACACAACAAAUAUUUGGGUCACAGCUUGCUUUAAUGAUAUGCUUUUGAAAUGGUGGUUUUAAUCCUGGAUGCAUUUUUGGUGGUUGUUUUCCUUCCGCAGUGAGAAGCCAAAGGUACUUCUGCCAGGGAGUGGAAGUAGGAGAGCUGGGGACUCCGUUUCCCAAGGGCUUCUUUGUUCUUGGCUCUGCGGAGGCCACUCUAGCACCCUGGCUGGUUCUGCAGUCCUCAGAGCAAUGUCCUUCCUGGUCUCAGUCUAGACAGGACUUAGAGGCCGCUGUCUCUAGGGGCGCCAGGUCUUCCUGUCUGCCCUUAGCCACUUCCCUGCAGGCAAAACCAGGUCCAAGUUCACAGCUGUGAGGGGAAAACAAGCCUCCUGUGAACAGCAGGAAGCUUGCAUGGCAGUUAGGGGCUGCGGCAGAAUAGGCCAGGGAUGAGGAAUGGGCUGAGCACAUGCAUGGCAGCCUGGUGGAAGAAGACCCCACCACAGCUGGGCAAAGUUAGCUCAGAAAGGUCCGGGUUUAAUUUGCCCAGUUUUAUUACAGGAGGGUACCAAGUAUAAAAGCAGGGCACCCAGUUGAAUUUGAAUUUCAGAUACAAAACAAAUAUUUUCUCAGCAUAUCACAUGCACUUGAGAAAAACUUGUACUAAAAUUUUAUUUCAGUUACUGUAGUAUUUCACUGUAGUAAAGACAUCAGGAUGCUUCUCCAUCAGGGUCUGUUUAUCAACAACAGAGGCUUUUCUCUGGCUUUCAAAGCAAAUUUGGCAUAAGCCAGGAUACAUUCUGAGGGGAGAAGGCAGGAUCAGUGCCCAUUUGUCCGAGGACAAUGCCUCUGCUUUUCCUUUUAUCAAAAGCCAGAGAGGAGAUGGCUCCCUGUCCCCUACAGGAAGUGCAGGGGGCCCUCAGAUUCAGCCAACUGCAGACCAGAAAUACUUAGGCAAACACUACAUCUGCACAGAUUAUAUACAAACAUGAUUCCCUACACCACAAAGUGCUAUAACUCUUUACAUAUCGUGUACAUUGUGUUGGGUUUUAUAAGUCAUCUAGAGAUUGCCUGAAGAUGUAGGCAGGUUCUUUGCAAACACCACUGCCUUUUAUAGGAGGGACUUGAGCAUCCCAGGACAAGUGCCCCCACCACUCCUGUCCCCCAUCACUCAUAUGGGAUAAAAAGUAAGGAAUAGGUACGACAAUGUGAAUGGAGUUACUGCAACUUAAAAUGGCUCAAAGGGUGAGUUUAGGGUUAUGUAUAUUUUACCAUCAUUUUUUAGAAAGGUAAGGAGCAGGGAGAUGGUCCCACCACUGGAUGAUCUAGGGCUCGGUGCAGAGCCUGGCAUGUCAAGUGCGUGGCCUUGUUUCUCAACCUUCUCCUCACUCGCUCCUGCCUGCUGCAGUCUGGUGAAGUCACACCUGGCCUAGCUUCCCGUUUGCCUCCACCUGCCCUUUCCUCCAGCCGUGUGCACACUCGCAGCCAUCCCUGCAUGUAUCUCUGUCCACACCACCUCUUUCCUUAGGAGACUUGGCUGCUCUAUCAGGCUCAUCUCCGAGGUCUCACCAGGAAGCCCUCUCUGGAGCUGUCCUCAUCCACCUGGGUUGCAGGGCAGACCGGGCCUGGAUUUCUCCUGCUGUUUAAGAAAUACUUGUCACAACUGAGCCCUCAACAAUUUCAUUUUCUGUUUUCCAAAUGUCAAAUCAGCUUCUCAGUAGCCGAGCAUAACGUGUAUCCUCCUUCAGCUCCAAACCUCACAACUCACAGGUACAAAGCUUUCUUAGAACAAAAUACCUUUGAUGUGCCUGGCACCUCACGCUUCCUCUGCCAGGCAUCUUGAUGCUGGGUGUCGCAUCCUUCUGCCUCACUGUGGCCACACUGUGGGGACCUGUUCGAGGCCUGGUGAGGCCACCAAUGAGUCAUGGUCACUCCCUGGAGCUCCCACUUCUGUCCCAGGAGCAGCCUGCAUCCCUCCAGGACAAGCCCACUUCCUUCUCUGUUUCGGUUUCCCUUCCAUAGUUCCCAGACCCUACCAGCUCCUGCCAGAAAGCUUUUCCUAACUCCAGUGACCUCACCAGUGUCCCCAUCAAAUUCAUAUUCCCUAGAGCCUCAGAAUGUGACCUUAUUUAGAAACAGGGCUUUUGUAGGCAUAGUUAGGGCAAGAGCUGAAAUGAAAUCACAUUCGAUUAGAAUAAGCCCUAAGUGCAAUGACAGAAAAGAUGCGGGGAGCCACGGUAAAGAACGGGUGUGGAGCUGGAGGUAGAGUUUGGAGUGAAUGCCAAGAACUGCCCGUGAGUGCCAGGACAAAGGACAGAUGCCUGGAGAGAACUCUUCCUCGGAGCCUGCAGAGGGAACCAACUCACCUGAACCUGGACUUCUGACUCCUGGCCUCCUGAAGUGUGUGACAAUAAAUUUCUGCUGUUCUAGGCCACUCUGUGUAUGGUAAUUUGUUAUGACAGCCCGGGAAAACUAAUACACAAACUAAGUGACAGGGUUCUGGGUCUCGGUCUGCUGAACAGGC